UCGGAAACAGAGAGAUAAGGGAAGGCUAAUAAUCGCGAUCCGGUUCUUCAGGGAGGAGGUUCAAAAGGAAACGCGGCGGGGGGACCAGGAGCGGGGUGGGUGGAACUGUGUUUUGGCUUCUGUGCCAACUAAGAACCGGGUUAGGUAAGGCCUAGCCUUCUCCACAUUCCUCUCCCCUUUGGGUCCUUCGUGCAGAUGCCACAGCACCCAGUGGGCCCAUAGGAGACAAGCAUCAGAGACUGAAGAAAGUCAGCAAGCUGGAACACAGGCGUCCCGUUUGGAAGUGUCCAAGGAGACCGCCCCAAGUGCGCCAGCCGCGUCUGGGAGACUUUCCUUCUGGCCGAGAGGGGGAGCCCCGCGUUCCCAGCCGGGAGCGACCCGGAGUCCCGAGCCUCGAGCCCCAGCCGCCAGCCCGCGCCAGUAACGGCUUCAGCCGAUUAGGAAGAGGAGGGAGGGGGCCGCGAGCACGUCGAGGGAGGGGACAGGAGCCGGAGGGUCCCGAGGCCAGCUCGCCGUUGACGUAGAGAAACUUUCCCUCUCGGCCGCGGAGACGGCGCCCCGGCUGCGCCGGAGCGGAGAUCGCCCGGCCCCGAGGACGCCCGCGGCUCUCCACGCCCCUGCCCGGAGCCUGACCCGACUGUAUCCGUCAGGAAGGAGCUGGCGGGACGCCGGCAGAUCUGAACGGCGGAGAGUGUGCGGACCAGACGGGGCUGAGCAG
ensembl:lncRNA